AAAUUGAAGAGUUUGAUCAUGGCUCAGAUUGAACGCUGGCGGCAGGCCUAACACAUGCAAGUCGAACGGUAACAGGAAGCAGCUUGCUGCUUUGCUGACGAGUGGCGGACGGGUGAGUAAUGUCUGGGAAACUGCCUGAUGGAGGGGGAUAACUACUGGAAACGGUGGCUAAUACCGCAUAACGUCGCAAGACCAAAGAGGGGGACCUUCGGGCCUCUUGCCAUCAGAUGUGCCCAGAUGGGAUUAGCUUGUUGGUGAGGUAACGGCUCACCAAGGCGACGAUCCCUAGCUGGUCUGAGAGGAUGACCAGCCACACUGGAACUGAGACACGGUCCAGACUCCUACGGGAGGCAGCAGU
rnacentral:rRNA from 2 species